GAAUCAACGCUGGCGGCGUGCCUAACACAUGCAAGUCGAACGAGAAAGCGGGGGCAACCCUGCGAGUAGAGUGGCAGACGGGUGAGUAACACGUGAACAACCUACCCUUGAGUGUGGAAUAACCCCGCGAAAGCGGGGCUAAUACCGCAUAACAUCCCCGGGUCGCAUGACUUGGGGAUCAAAGGCGCAAGUCGCUUGAGGAGGGGUUCGCGCCUGAUUAGCUAGUUGGUGAGGUAACGGCCCACCAAGGCAACGAUCAGUAGCCGGCCUGAGAGGGCGUACGGCCACACUGGAACUGAGACACGGUCCAGACUCCUACGGGAGGCAGCAGUGGGGAAUUUUGCGCAAUGGGCGAAAGCCUGACGCAGCAACGCCGCGUGGAGGAUGAAGGCCUUCGGGUCGUAAACUCCUGUCAGGGGGGACGAAGGUCGGGAAACCGAUUUGACUGUACCCCUUGAGGAAGCCACGGCUAACUCCGUGCCAGCAGCCGCGGUAAUACGGAGGUGGCAAGCGUUGUUCGGAAUUACUGGGCGUAAAGGGCGCGUAGGCGGCUUGGCAAGUCAGAUGUGAAAGCCCCGGGCUUAACCUGGGAAUUGCAUCUGAAACUGCUUUGCUUGAGUCCUGGAGGGGGUAGUGGAAUUCCCAGUGUAGCGGUGAAAUGCGUAGAUAUUGGGAGGAACACCGGCGGCGAAGGCGGCUACCUGGACAGUGACUGACGCUGAGGCGCGAAAGCUAGGGGAGCGAACGGGAUUAGAUACCCCGGUAGUCCUAGCGGUAAACGAUGGACACUUGGUGUUGGGGGUAUUGAGUCCCCCAGUGCCGGAGUUAACACGUUAAGUGUCCCGCCUGGGGAGUACGGUCGCAAGACUGAAACUCAAAG
rnacentral:rRNA from 1 species